rnacentral:lncRNA from 1 species
CUGGUGUGCACGUGCUCAGCACGUGAGUGGAAAGGGGGAAGUAGACUUCUGAUUGGAGUCUUCUUCUCUCCCAAUUCUGAUGAGAUCAGAGAAAGGGAUGAUCAAUUUAGAUUGGGAAAAUCCUAGAAUUCAGUUUAUAAGUAGUCGACCGCCUUUUUCCCUUGGAUCUCCAUUGUAUUUUCUUGAGAAACUGCCGCCAGUCUUCUGAGUUCUUCUUCUCGGAGUUUCUUUUGGGAUUUCACCGAGAAAGGCCACCGGAUCCCUCCUUUUUAACGUCGCCGGACCGAGAUAGUCCCUCCCCUUUGUUCUUUUUUCUUUUUCUAGCAAUCUCCUCAUCGUAGCUGCUCGGAUUUGGCCUCGAGCCAUUGGAUUGGGUGUGACCAAGGCAUUCUCUAGUUUGUCUUUUGCUUCGCCGACUACCUCCAGCCACGGCCAUUGUUUCGGUUGCUACUUCACCAUCGGGAAUCGCUGUAGGUGGUCGGCCCCGAGCCUUCCACUGCCAUGGCUGGGAGAGGAGGGAAGGGGAGGAUGGCCUCUGUUUUCAAGAAGAAAAAACAAAAGGAAUUGAGAGUUUUCCUCCUCUCCCUUCCUUCAUUUCUCUUUUUUCUCUAAUUUAUUUAUUUUUUCUCUUAGAUGGGUUAGGGAUCCCUGGGGAAAAGAUUCAGAAGACUAAAUGGUAGACUCCAGCGAACCUUACUAUAGGAUUCUAGACAAAUAAUUGUUAUACUAUAGAUUUUAUUUUUAAUAUUAAUUUUGGAUCCAUAAGAAAAUAUUUUUUUAGACAAGAGA